rnacentral:sRNA from 1 species
UUUGAAUCGCAAAGGCGGCAAGGGGCCGUUGUGCUGGUGCGAUUUUCAGUGCAGACAAAUACCAUUUGAAACGUACGCGACAUUUGAUUGAAAAGCGUUGCAGGUUGUUGGCCAUAAUGACGGAAGUAAUUUCCGCAAGUGUAACCUCAAGAGCACCCUGGAGCUGCCCAAGAGUAGCUGCAAUCUGGCUACGGGAUCGAAAACGUCCAAAAGACGCUGCUAUCGCUGAUACAUUCCCAAUCCGUUGCUCCGUUGCAAGUAGGCGAAAGUGCUCCUGGAUAUAUAUCAAACGUCUACGAUGACGGGACGACCUUUGCGAUUCAAGUCCUGGCGGUCUAGAGACCGAUGAAUGACGUGGAAUGACGAAAUAUCUUAAUUCAAUCUAUUUUUGAAGAACAGUGCUGCUCUGCUAGAUUUGUAAAAAAAUGUUGGCGGACAUUCAAAAUGUAGAUUUCUCAUGUAUUUAAUAAUUAAAUCAUUAACAAUACAGUGUCUUGCUUCAAUAGAUAAAACAUGACAUGUGAGCGCUUAGAUUAGGCCUUCUUCUUGGCAAAGCCCAUUGUGUAGAUCAUAUGGACAAUGCUAAUUAGU